rnacentral:rRNA from 1 species
UACGUAGGGUGCGAGCGUUAAUCGGAAUUACUGGGCGUAAAGCGUGCGCAGGCGGUUUUGUAAGUCAGAUGUGAAAUCCCCGGGCUCAACCUGGGAACUGCAUUUGAGACUGCAAAGCUAGAGUGUGGCAGAGGGGGGUGGAAUUCCACGUGUAGCAGUGAAAUGCGUAGAGAUGUGGAGGAACACCGGUGGCGAAGGCGGCUACCUGGACGGGUACUGACGCUGAGGCGCGAGAGCUGGGGGAGCAAACAGGAUUAGAAACCCCGGUAGU